rnacentral:misc_RNA from 1 species
GAAAUGCGAUAAGUAAUGUGAAUUGCAGAAUUCAGUGAAUCAUCGAAUCUUUGAACGCACCUUGCGCUCCUUGGUAUUCCUUGGAGCAUGCCUGUUUGAGUAUCAUGAAAUCUUCAAAGUAAAUCUUUUGUUAACUCAAUUGGUUUCUACUUUGGUAUUGGAGGUCUUUGCAGCUUCACACCUGCUCCUCUUUGUUCAUUAGCUGGAUCUCAGUGUUAUGCUUGGUUCCACUCGGCGUGAUAAGUUAUCUAUCGCUGAGGACACUGUAAAAGGUGGCCAAGGUAAAUGCAGAUGAACCGCUUCUAAUAGUCCAUUGACUUGGACAAUACUUUUAUGAUCUGAUCUCAAAUCAGGUAUGACUACCCGCUGAACUUACGC